rnacentral:pre_miRNA from 1 species
AAAGUACUCCAUCUGUCCCAAAAUUCUUGUCUUAGAUUUGUCUAGAUACGGAUGUAUCAAGUCACAUUUUAGUAUUAGAUACAUCCGUAUCUAGACAAAUCUAAGACAAGAAAUUUGGGACAGAGGGGGUAGUUG